rnacentral:rRNA from 1 species
CGAGCGAUUGUUAACGGGUAGCAAUAUCGGUUAACGAGAGCGGGCAAGGGUGCGUAACACGUGGGCAAUCUGCCGUGAAGUUUGGGAUAAUCCCGCGAAAGCGGGACUAAUACCGGAUGUGACAGACUGGUGGCAUCACUGGUUUGUCAAAGUUGGGGACCGCAAGGCCUGACGCUUCAUGAUGAGCCCGCGGCCUAUCAGGUAGUUGGCGGGGUAACGGCCCACCAAGCCUAAGACGGGUAGCUGGUCUGAGAGGACGACCAGCCACACUGGAACUGAGACACGGUCCAGACACCUACGGGUGGCAGCAGUCGAGAAUCUUUCACAAUGGGGGAAACCCUGAUGGAGCGACGCCGCGUGGGGGAUGAAUGGCUUCGGCUUUUUUACCCCUGUCAUUUGCGAGCAAAGCGCAUUAUUUAAAAGAUGAUGUGUUGAUCGUAGCGGAAGAGGAAGGGACGGCUAACUCUGUGCCAGCAGCCGCGGUAAUACAGAGGUCCCGAGCGUUGUUCGGAUUCACUGGGCGUCAAUUGUCAGUAGGUGGGUGAGGUGUGUCGGAUGUGAAAUCUCGGAGCUCAACUCCCGAAAACUGCAUUGGAAAACUACCUUGCUGGGAGGGUUGGAGGGGGGACUGGAUACUUGGUGGUAGCAGUGAAAUGCGUAGAUAUCAAGUGGAACACAGUGGCGAAAGGCGAGUCCCUGGACAACUCCCUGACAUUGAGGCCCAAAAGCUAGGGGAGCAAACAGGGAUUAGGA